UACAGAGGUCCCGAGCGUUGUUCGGAUUUAUUGGGCGUAAAGGGUGCGUAGGCGGCGGAGUAAGUUGGGUGUGAAAUCCCGGGGCUCAACCUCGGAAUUGCAUUCAAUACUGCUUCGCUCGAGUACUGGAGAGGAGGCUGGAAUUUACGGUGUAGCAGUGAAAUGCGUAGAUAUCGUAAGGAAGGCCGGUGGCGAAAGCGAGCCUCUGGACAGUUACUGACGCUGAGGCACGAAGGUCAGGGGAGCAAACGGG
rnacentral:rRNA from 1 species